rnacentral:rRNA from 1 species
GACGAACCGUCCUAACGUUGUUCGGAAUCACUGGGCUUAAAGGGCGCGUAGGCGGCCUUGAAAGUCGGGGGUGAAAUCCCACGGCCUAACCGUGGAAGUGCCUCCGAUACUGCAAGGCUCGAGGGAGGUAGGGGCAGCUGGAACUUCCGGUGGAGCGGUGAAAUGCGUUGAUAUCGGAAGGAACGCCGGUGGCGAAGGCGAGCUGCUGGACCUCUGCUGACGCUGAGGCGCGAAAGCCAGGGGAGCAAACGGG